GAUGCUGCUUGACCUGCUGUGUUCAUCCAGCCCUGCACCUUGUUGUCUCGGAUUCUCCAGCAUCUGCAGUUCCUACUGUCUCUGAUCCAACUGGGGACCUUGUCCUUCAAGCCAAAAGGCAUGUGGUUGGUUCAGUCUCAGUGAAAAAACAACCAACAAACCAUCCUCUUCUUUUAGAGGGUCUUCACUUCAAAAACCUAAGGCAAAGGAAAUUUACGAAAUUAUCUUGCCCAAUAAGCACAUAACAGUCGUGCAGGCCUCAAGCCAUACACUGUCAGCCACCACAAAUUCAUUGCCCAGGGCCAUCAGAAGACAGACAGAAGCACAGAGGAAAGUCAGGGACCAGAUAACAACCUCCAGAAGGAACAGUGAACCUGCACCUGUAAGAUCUUAUCGCAGAAGGUUGAUUUGAAGGUACAACAGACCAGUAGGGGAUUCUCCCUUAUCCACAGCGAGCUCCUCACAGCAUUGAAGCAGUCGAACUAAAGCGACUUUACUGCAGAAUAUAUUUGUGAUGUCUACUGUUGGAUAUUUACCUUGGAAAUAAUCCCUACCUUUUCCCCUUGGCCCCAUGAAUGGAAUGACACCUGAAGGGAGCAGUAAUGUACAUAAAG